GGUGAACGCUGGCGGUAGGCUUAACACAUGCAAGUCGAACGGCAGCACAGGAGAGCUUGCUCUCUGGGUGGCGAGUGGCGGACGGGUGAGGAAUACAUCGGAAUCUACUCUGUCGUGGGGGAUAACGUAGGGAAACUUACGCUAAUACCGCAUACGACCUACGGGUGAAAGCAGGGGAUCUUCGGACCUUGCGCGAUUGAAUGAGCCGAUGUCGGAUUAGCUAGUUGGCGGGGUAAAGGCCCACCAAGGCGACGAUCCGUAGCUGGUCUGAGAGGAUGAUCAGCCACACUGGAACUGAGACACGGUCCAGACUCCUACGGGAGGCAGCAGUGGGGAAUAUUGGACAAUGGGCGCAAGCCUGAUCCAGCCAUACCGCGUGGGUGAAGAAGGCCUUCGGGUUGUAAAGCCCUUUUGUUGGGAAAGAAAUCCAGCUGGCUAAUACCCGGUUGGGAUGACGGUACCCAAAGAAUAAGCACCGGCUAACUUCGUGCCAGCAGCCGCAGUAA
rnacentral:rRNA from 1 species